GCACGCGCUGAGGCUUCAUUUGCGGUUUUCCCACCUCGUUAGGAAGGUGUGAACUGUGGCGGACACCCCGAGAGGAAGAGGGGGUUUCACCACCAGAGAUGUUCUUACCCCCUAUUCAGAGUAAUGCUGUCGAAAUCCCCAGCACGAUCAUCCAAGCAAUAUAGCUGUGUAGCUCUUACAAAAGCUGGUGAUUAUAGUUGGUAUAGCGG